rnacentral:misc_RNA from 1 species
GAUGAAGAACGCAGCGAAAUGAGAUAAGUAAUGUGAAUUGCAGAAUUCAGUGAAUCAUCGAAUCUUUGAACGCACAUUGCGCCCGCCAGUAUUCUGGCGGGCAUGCCUGUCUGAGCGUCAUUUCAACCCUCAUGCCCCUAGGGCGUGGUGUUGGGGAUCGGCCAAAGCCCGCGAGGGACGGCCGGCCCCUAAAUCUAGUGGCGGACCCGUCGUGGCCUCCUCUGCGAAGUAGUGAUAUUCCGCAUCGGAGAGCGACGAGCCCCUGCCGUUAAACCCCCAACUUUCCAAGGUUGACCUCAGAUCAGGUAGGAAUACCCGCUGAACUUAAGCAUAUCAAUAAGCGGAGGA